CAGUCGCCGCGGGAAUACAGAGGGUGCAAGCGUUAAUCGGAAUUACUGGGCGUAAAGCGUGCGCAGGCGGUUAUAUAAGACAGAUGUGAAAUCCCCGGGCUCAACCUGGGAACUGCAUUUAUGACUGUAUAGCUAGAGUACGGCAGAGGGGGAUGGAAUUCCGCGUGUAGCAGUGAAAUGCGUAGAUAUGCGGAGGAACACCGAUGGCGAAGGCAAUCCCCUGGGCCUGUACUGACGCUCAUGCACGAAAGCGUGGGGAGCAAACAGGAUUAGAUACCCCAGUAGUCCCUGUCUCUUAUAU
rnacentral:rRNA from 1 species